UGAAUGAAAUUGUAAUUUUUUUUAUUAUACAAUUAGUGUGACAAGAACAAGUGAUUGCGAUUGUGUGAACAGAUUCAACAAUUGACACAGCAGGGAACACUAUAUACUUAGGGCAAACCAUUAAGAUAUAACGUUGCAAAUAUACUAAACUUUAUGCCAUUACAAUACUUAGAAUAGCCCUGAGCAAAUUCAAAAUGGGUUUAGGAGGGAGGAUCCUCGUUUGGUCAUGAACUCUGACCUCUAACCUAUUCUCAAAAGUCGGGGCAUAAGUGGUUGAGGAACAGUUGAUACCCGCUCUGUGAUCUUCAAUGGUGUCAUGGUUCAUUGGUUACAACUAACAUUUUAUAGAUCAAUGGUCAUACCAUGGUUGGCUGUGCAGCAUUUGGAUGCUCCAAUCAGUCCGAGAAGGCUUAUCACAUGUACGGCUUCCCCAAGGACCAAGAGCGCAGGGAGAAAUGGAUGGCAAUGGUCAGCCGUCAAAACUUAUUGACAGUCAGCAACAGUCAAAAACGAUGUAACGUAAUGUUCAGAUCACUUGCUAGCAUUUCAAAGGGCAUAAUAAUUCUAAGUGUAGAGAAUUAUGACUUUCCAAUGAUAUUUGAAGUGCAAUGGAAACUGAUCUUACAAGCCUACCUACAGGUACACUUUGAAAAUGACCAAUUCAAAGCCACAAAAGUAGAUAGGAUGUUGAAGUUGAGGCCCAACAGUUUUCAUCCAUCGCCCUAAACCGAAGAGGAGGAAACCCCCUUCUGUGAGGGUGCCUCCGGAACCAAGUGCAACGGACCACACAUAUUCCGCCAAAUUAAACUUCGGUAUGAUCCAUGCAGCUAACAAUAUUCCCCAUUUCAUGUAAUUCAAGGAUAGACUACACUCCUAAUGAGAUUACAUAAUUCAUAUUUGUACAAAAAACAACCAGAAGGCAGGGAUUCUCUGAGGAUUUGCACACAAUGUAGAUAAUCGACACAUUUCUACCCAAUUAACAAUUGCCGGUAGAUCCAUUUAUAAAUUGUAUUGGUUUCUGAUUGUGGCAGGUGAUUUAACUCACAUUACAGAAAUGUUUUGCUUUAAUUCAUUUUAUUACAUUGGAGAUGACAGUAGAUGCAAAGGCAAAAUACAUAUAACAGCAACAUUACCUUGUAAUUGUUACAGAGAUCGAGGGAGAAAUUAAGGUGGAUUUCAAGAGCGUUGAAAAGGACAUCACAGGAGACAGAGAGAGCAAUCAAGAGGCCAAAUUGCCAGGGGCGGGUGAUCCAGGGGCAGGUGAUCCAGGGGCAGGCGAUCCAGGGGCAGGUGAUCCAGGGAUGUGCUUGCCGAGGGCCAGUCAGUCAGGGGUCAACAGUGAAGGAAUAACUUUGCCAGGGCCAGCUGCUCCAGGGACCAGACUGCCAGGGACUGAUGGGGCGACUGUGGAGGACCUAAUAAGAAGGAGAGCAGAGAGGGCUAUUGCAAAACAAAAAAGAAUCAAUUUGGCACUAAGAAAGAGAAUCAAUUUGGCACUAAGAAAGAGAAACAAUUCAGUCAACAAGAAGUUAAAACGAAAAAGCCAUACAGGUUAAAUUGACCGCCCAUCAUAAUCAGCAUUGUUGAAUCGGCGGCAUCUGUAGGGCUUCAUGUGCUGAACAUCACCCUUUCCAGGAUAUAAUUAAACAAACACUGUUAUUUCUACUAGCUAUCGCAUCAUAAAACCCGUCCUUAAAUCAACCUAAAUUAUCCUAGUAAUCCAACAUAAAUAACUAACUAAAUAAAAGUUAGAUUCACUAGUACUGAACUUUGUAAUUGUUGGUGUAGAUACCAUCACAUGGUGCAGUCGAGCUAACAAACUAGCAGGCAAUCGGUCGUCUACCAAGAUAUAAAUAUAUAUAAUUACGCUGUGCAUAUACAAAUAAAUAUCAAGAAGAUAUGCAUCAUAAAGGUCCUGAUACAAUAUAGACAGUUGACAAUUCAAAAGAGGUAGCUAUUUAAUCAAUUUACCCCUGGAGAUACCUUCACAGAUGGUGAAGUCGAGCUAACAAACUAGCAGGCAAUCGGUCGUCUACCAAGAUGAAUAUAUAUAUAUAAUUACGCUGUGCAUUUACAAAUAAAGAUCAGUAUAUGCAUCAUAAAGGGCCUCUGAUACAAUAUAGACAGUUGACAAUUCAAAAGAGGUAGCUAUUUAAUCAAUUUACCUCAGAAGUUAAUCGGCGGCCAGCAAUGGAAAUGAACGGUCUCCUAAGCCGUAAAAUGGUUGUUUGGAACUAUUCG
ensembl:lncRNA